GAUGAACGCUGGCGGCGUGCUUAACACAUGCCAGUCGAACGGAAAGGCCUCUGCUUGCAGGGGUACUCGAGUGGCGAACGGGUGAGUAACACGUGGGUGAUCUGCCCUGCACUUCGGGAUAAGCCUGGGAAACUGGGUCUAAUACCGGAUAGGACAAUGGUUUGGAUGCUGUUGUGGAAAGUUUUUCGGUGUGGGAUGAGCUCGCGGCCUAUCAGCUUGUUGGUGGGGUAAUGGCCUACCAAGGCGUCGACGGGUAGCCGGCCUGAGAGGGUGUACGGCCACAUUGGGACUGAGAUAAGGCCCAGACUCCUACGGGAGGCAGCAGUGGGGAAUAUUGCACAAUGGGCGCAAGCCUGAUGCAGCGACGCCGCGUGGGGGAUGACGGCCUUCGGGUUGUAAACUCCUUUCGCUAGGGACGAAGCGUUUUUGUGACGGUACCUGGAGAAGAAGCACCGGCUAACUACGUG
rnacentral:rRNA from 1 species